rnacentral:tRNA from 1 species
AAGACACUAGUAUAAGACUUAAUACACUGCCUUGUCGAGGCAGAGUUGCGGGUUAAAUUCCCACGUGUCUUA